GACAGGGGAUGCAAGCGUUAUCCGGAAUGAUUGGGCGUAAAGCGUCUGUAGGUGGCUCCUUAAGUCCGCUGUCAAAUCCCAGGGCUCAACCCUGGACAGGCGGUGGAAACUACUAAGCUGGAGUACGGUAGGGGCAGAGGGAAUUUCCGGUGGAGCGGUGAAAUGCGUAGAGAUCGGAAAGAACACCAAAGGCGAAGGCACUCUGCUGGGCCGACACUGACACUGAGAGACGAAAGCUAGGGGAGCGAAUGGG
rnacentral:rRNA from 2 species